GGCCGCGAGGGCUUCAAAUCCGUGGCGGGUCCGUGGGCG
rnacentral:tRNA from 15 species